GAGCCUGACUGGUGUUGGGUCACGGCUUCAAACCGUGGGCGGCUUAGCGGCCGAGAGGUUCGAUUCCUCCUG
rnacentral:tRNA from 1 species